AACGAACGCUGGCGGCGUGCUUAACACAUGCAAGUCGAACGAGAAAGUUUCCUUCGGGAAGCGAGUAGAGUGGCGCACGGGUGAGUAACGCGUAGGUAAUCUACCCUUAUAUUUGGGAUAACAUUGGGAAACUGGUGCUAAUACCGGAUACCCUUCAUUUCUGCCGGGUUAUGGAGGAAAGGUGGCCUCUUCAUGAAAGCUACCGUAUAGGGAUGAGCCUGCGUACCAUUAGCUGGUAGGUGGGGUAAUGGCCCACCUAGGCAACGAUGGUUAGCGGGUCUGAGAGGAUGAUCCGCCACACUGGAACUGGAACACGGACCAGACUCCUACGGGAGGCAGCAGUGAGGAAUAUUGCGCAAUGGGGGAAACCCUGACGCAGCGACGCCGCGUGAGUGAGGAAGGUUUUCGGAUCGUAAAGCUCUGUCAGAAGGGAAGAAGUGUUAUAUGGUUAAUACCCGUAUAAUUUGACGGUACCUUCAGAGGAAGCACCGGCUAACUCCGUG
rnacentral:rRNA from 1 species